AUUGAACGCUGGCGGCAGGCCUAACACAUGCAAGUCGAGCGAGCGGCGGACGGGUGAGUAAUGUCUGGGAAACUGCCUGAUGGAGGGGGAUAACUACUGGAAACGGUAGCUAAUACCGCAUACUAUCAGAUGUGCCCAGAUGGGAUUAGCUAGUAGGUGGGAUAACGGCUCACCUAGGCGACGAUCCCUAGCUGGUCUGGGAGGAUGACCAGCCACACUGGAACUGAGAAACGGGUCAGACUCCUACGGGAGGCAGGAGUGGGGAAUAUUGCACAAUGGGCGCAAGCCUGAUGCAGCCAUGCCGCGGGUGGUAAGAAGGCCUUCGGGGUGUAAAGCACUUUCAGCGGGGAGGCGUUACCCGCAGAAGAAGCACCGGCUAACUCCGUGCCAGCAGCCGCGGUAAUUC
rnacentral:rRNA from 1 species